rnacentral:rRNA from 1 species
AUUGAACGCUGGCGGCAGGCCUAACACAUGCAAGUCGAGCGGAUGAAGGGAGCUUGCUCCUGGAUGCAGCGGCGGACGGGUGAGUAAUGCCUAGGAAUCUGCCUGGUAGUGGGGGAUAACGUCCGGAAACGGGCGCUAAUACCGCAUACGUCCUGAGGGAGAAAGUGGGGGAUCUUCGGACCUCACGCUAUCAGAUGAGCCUAGGUCGGAUUAGCUAGUUGGUGGGGUAAAGGCCUACCAAGGCGACGAUCCGUAACUGGUCUGAGAGGAUGAUCAGUCACACUGGAACUGAGACACGGUCCAGACUCCUACGGGAGGCAGCAGUGGGGAAUAUUGCGCAAUGGGCGAAAGCCUGAUCCAGCCAUGCCGCGUGAGUGAAGAAGGUCUUCGGAUUGUAAAGCACUUUAAGUUGGGAGGAAGGGCAGUAAGUUUAUACCUUGCUGUUUUGACGUUACCAACAGAAUAAGCACCGGCUAACUUCGUG